GGCCUGAUGGUCUAGUAGUAUGAUUCCUUGUUAGGGUUCUCAGUGAGUUCCAUCGAGGAGGUCCCGGGUUCAAUUCCCGGUCAGGCCC